GAUGAACGCUGGCGGCGUGCCUAAUACAUGCAAGUCGAGCGAACAGACGAGGAGCUUGCUCCUCUGACGUUAGCGGCGGACGGGUGAGUAACACGUGGAUAACCUACCUAUAAGACUGGGAUAACUUCGGGAAACCGGAGCUAAUACCGGAUAAUAUAUUGAACCGCAUGGUUCAAUAGUGAAAGACGGUUUUGCUGUCACUUAUAGAUGGAUCCGCGCCGCAUUAGCUGGUUGGUAAGGUAACGGCUUACCAAGGCAACGAUGCGUAGCCGACCUGAGAGAGUGAUAGGCCACACUGGAAGUGAACCACGGUCCAGACUCCUACGGGAGGCAGCAGUAGGGAAUCUUCCGCAGAGGGCGGAAGCCUGACGGAGCAACGCCGAGUGAGUGAUGAAGGUCUUCGGAUCGUAAAACUCUGUUAUUAGGGAAGAACAAAUGUGUAAGUAACUAUGCACGGCUUGACGGUACCUAAUCAGAAAGCCACGGCUAACUACGUG
rnacentral:rRNA from 1 species